rnacentral:rRNA from 1 species
GACGAACGCUGGCGGCGUGCUUAACACAUGCAAGUCGAACGGAAAGGCCCUGCUGUUGUGGGGUGCUCGAGUGGCGAACGGGUGAGUAACACGUGAGUAACCUGCCCUUGACUUUGGGAUAACUUCAGGAAACUGAGGCUAAUACCGGAUAGGAGCUCCUGCUGCAUGGUGGGGGUUGGAAAGUUUCGGCGGUUGGGGAUGGACUCGCGGCUGAUCAGCUUGUUGGUGGGGUAGUGGCUUACCAAGGAUUUGACGGGUCGCCGGCCUGAGAGGGUGACCGGGCCCAUGGCGCCUGCGAUACGGCCCAGUGUCCUACGUGAGGCAGCAGUGGGGAAUAUUGCACAAUGGGCGGAAGCCUGAUGCAGCAACGCCGCGUGCGUGAUGCCGGCCUUCGGGUUGUAAACCGCUUUCGCCUGUGACGAAGCGUGAGUGACGGUAAUGGGUAAAGAAGCACCGGCUAACUACGUG